rnacentral:rRNA from 1 species
UACAGAGGGUGCAAGCGUUGUCCGGAUUUAUUGGGCGUAAAGAGCUCGUAGGCGGUUCGAUAAGUCGGGUGUGAAAACUUUGGGCUCAACCCAAAGCGUGCAUUCGAUACUGUUGUGACUAGAGUUCGGUAGGGGAGUGGGGAAUUCCUAGUGUAGCGGUGAAAUGCGCAGAUAUUAGGAGGAACACCGGUGGCGAAGGCGCCACUCUGGGCCGAAACUGACGCUGAGGAGCGAAAGCGUGGGUAGCAAACAGG